GCCGGCGUGGCGGAAUUGGUAGACGCGCGUGAUUCAAAAUCAUGUUUCUUCGGAAGUAAGGGUUCGAGUCCCUUCGCCGGUA
rnacentral:tRNA from 1 species